UUGACCUCAAAUCGGGUGAGACUACCCGCUGAACUUAAGCAUAUCAAUAAGCGGAGGAAAAGAAACUAACAAGGAUUCCCCUAGUAACUGCGAGUGAAGCGGGAAAAGCUCAAAUUUAAAAUCUGGUGGCCAUCCGGCCAUCCGAGUUGUAAUCUAGAGAAGCGUCUUCCGCGCUGGACCAUGCACAAGUCUCCUGGAAUGGAGCGUCAUAGAGGGUGAGAAUCCCGUCUUUGGCAUGGAUGCACCAGGGCUUCUGUGAUGCGCUCUCGAAGAGUCGAGUUGUUUGGGAAUGCAGCUCAAAAUGGGUGGUGAACUCCAUCUAAAGCUAAAUACUGGCGAGAGACCGAUAGCGAACAAGUACCGUGAGGGAAAGAUGAAAAGCACUUUGGAAAGAGAGUGAAACAGUACGUGAAAUUGUUGAAAGGGAAACGCUUGAAGUCAGUCGCGUCGACCGAGACUCAGCCUUGCCUCGGCUUGGUGUACUUCUCGAUCGACGGGUCAGCAUCAAUUUUGCCCUUCGGAUAAUGACAAGGGAAAGGUAGCACCUUUACGGGUGUGUUAUAGUCUCUUGUCGGAUGCGAGGGUCGGGAUUGAGGGACUCAGCACGCGCCUUUUGGCGUCGGGGCUUCGGCCUACGUUUACGUGCUUAGGAUGCUGGCAUAAUGGCUUUAAACGACCCGUCUUGAAACACGGACCAAGGAGUCUAACAUGCCCGCGAGUGUUCGGGUGGAAAACCCGUGCGCGUAAUGAAAGUAAAAGUUGGGACCUUCGUCGUGGGGGGCACCGACGCCCGGACCAGACCUUCUGUGACGGAUCUGCGGUAGAGCGUGUAUGUUGGGACCCGAAAGAUGGUGAACUAUGCUUGAAUAGGGUGAAGCCAGAGGAAACUCUGGUGGAGGCUCGUAGCGAUUCUGACGUGCAAAUCGAUCGUCAAAUUUGGGUAUAGGGGCGAAAGACUAAUCGAACCAUCUAGUAGCUGGUUCCUGC
rnacentral:rRNA from 1 species